UCUAACUUUUUCUUCCUUUUCCUCUUUCCUAUUUUCUCGACUUUCUAGGAUGAACGCAAUCCACUUUCCCUCAAACCCGUUAUUUUGAAGAACUGGUUGUACAGAUGUCUUAUUCACGUCUAAUUUUAAAGCCCCUAUACUUCCUUUCCCUUUGAUCUUUAGUUCCGACAUCAAAAUAAAGUUGUCGUUAAUUUAUGAAGAGACAAUUUCACUAAGAAUGGACUUAAGCAGCUAAAUUAUUGUACGGACUGCUAGAGCGAAAUUGACUGGGCAUUUUAGACUCCGUUUGUUUCAUUCAAGAAAAUCAACUCAGUCAAAAGAUUUUACAAGUCAACGGAAAAACGGUUACUUUUUCUAUUGCUUGGGACUUAUAUCAAAUUUGGCGAAUAAAUUUGUGUCACGGCCCAAACCCUGGUUUGCUCUUUCCUCUUUUAACUUUCCAAGAUUUUUCAUGUGUAUGUUUGUGGAAUUUAUUAAUAUACAGAAAUAGAGAAGUGAAAACUGAAAAGAAAAGUUGGAUUUAAUCCAUUUAUGGCUUGCUGCUCUGCUUUAAUAUCUGUUGCUUGGCUGCUUAGUACUUAAUUGGAUAAUGAAUAAUCUUCCAUGAUCCCAUGUAUUAUAUAUAUUAGUGAUAAACAUGACAAUGCUUGCUAGUACUGCUAAACAAAGGGGAGAUUGGCAUGAAUGUCAAAUGUUUGGUAAUGAAAAGAGCAAAGAUGUAGGAUAUGUCUACUUCAACUGCUUACUUUGUGGGAUCUGAACAUUUUCUUAGGUUCUUUGUGUGAAUGGUGGAAAAGAAGUUACAGAUAUAGGUAUGUCAAUGGUAGAAAAGAAGUUACAAAUAUAGGUAUUUUCUGAAGCUUAUAUUUCCUACUCGUUAAGAUUAUAUAAAUGUUGAUAUUUUAACUAGCUUCUGCACAAAUGUUGCCUAUACAAAAUUUAUCUGUGUUGUGUUAGAUUGAACAUAAUUUCUUGAGGAGUUGUUCUGCUUUCCUUUUCUUAUGAAACUAUAUUCUUUGACUUUAAGUUGAUAGGGAAAGCUUCUUAUUUGGGCAGGUGACUAUACCGUGGCUGCCAAUGUAUAUCAGAAAAUCUUGGAAAUAUGGCAUGCUUAUGGAUGUUACCAAAAAUUGCAAUAAAACUUUGCAUUAGUUACUAUAGCAGUUUGCCAUCUUCUUCAAGCUUAUCAAUGCUUUAAGAAUGGGAAUGCUAUAUGUUUUCAGACUUUUGAUGGUCAGGACCUCUACUGAAGAAGUAAAUCUAUCACGGGAAAGGGGAGCAGGGAAGUUAAGCUCAUUACUAGUAGAGAAACCCUGCUAGAGACUUCUUGAAGAGGCUUUACCCUAUGUUGUAUAUGGAAAAGAGAUGGAAUGCUAAGAAAAAUAUUUACGAACUACGUUGUUCGUAUUCAUUGGAGACUAAUGCUGAUUGUGGAGGAUACUAAAAGUUUCCUCUUCAAAGCUCAAGAACACUAGAGUCAAAAGGAAGAUAAUUGAAAAGGCUAUAGCUGCCGGAAGAGAUGACAAUACUUUUCUAUGGCCUUGAGUCUCAUUGUUUAAUGUUUUCCUUUGCUUUUUUCUGUCUAAUUGUAGGACUAAUGACUUUCUUUGUUUAUAUAAAACAAUUUUAGAUA